rnacentral:rRNA from 1 species
CGCAAGCCUGAUCCAGCCAUGCCGCGUGUGUGAAGAAGGCCUUUUGGUUGUAAAGCACUUUAAGCGAGGAGGAGGCUACUUGGAUUAAUACUCUAGGAUAGUGGACAUUACUCGCAGAAUAAGCACCGGCUAACUCUGUGCCAGCAGCCGCGGUAAUACAGAGGGUGCGAGCGUUAAUCGGAUUUACUGGGCGUAAAGCGUGCGUAGGCGGCUUUUUAAGUCGGAUGUGAAAUCCCUGAGCUUAACUUAGGAAUUGCAUUCGAUACUGGGAAGCUAGAGUAUGGGAGAGGAUGGUAGAAUUCCAGGUGUAGCGGUGAAAUGCGUAGAGAUCUGGAGGAAUACCGAUGGCGAAGGCAGCCAUCUGGCCUAAUACUGACGCUGAGGUACGAAAGCAUGGGGAGCAAACAGGAUUAGAUACCCUGGUAGUCCAUGCCGUAAACGAUGUCUACUAGCCGUUGGGGCCUUUGAGGCUUUAGUGGCGCAGCUAACGCGAUAAGUAGACCGCCUGGGGAGUACG